AUUGAACGCUGGCGGCAUGCCUUACACAUGCAAGUCGAACGGCAGCACGGGAGCAAUCCUGGUGGCGAGUGGCGAACGGGUGAGUAAUAUAUCGGAACGUGCCCAGUCGUGGGGGAUAACGCAGCGAAAGCUGUGCUAAUACCGCAUACGAUCUAAGGAUGAAAGCGGGGGAUCGCAAGACCUCGCGCGAUUGGAGCGGCCGAUAUCAGAUUAGCUAGUUGGUGGGGUAAAGGCCCACCAAGGCGACGAUCUGUAGCUGGUCUGAGAGGACGACCAGCCACACUGGAACUGAGACACGGUCCAGACUCCUACGGGAGGCAGCAGUGGGGAAUUUUGGACAAUGGGCGCAAGCCUGAUCCAGCAAUGCCGCGUGCAGGAUGAAGGCCUUCGGGUUGUAAACUGCUUUUGUACGGAACGAAACGGCCCUUUCUAAUACAGGGGGCUAAUGACGGUACCGUAAGAAUAAGCACCGGCUAACUACGUGCCAGCAGCCGCCGUAA
rnacentral:rRNA from 1 species